AUUGAACGCUGGCGGCAGGCCUAACACAUGCAAGUCGAACGGUAGCACAGAGAGCUUGCUCUCGGGUGACGAGUGGCGGACGGGUGAGUAACGUCUGGGAAACUGCCCGAUGGAGGGGGAUAACUACUGGAAACGGUAGCUAAUACCGCAUAACGUCGCAAGACCAAAGUGGGGGACCUUCGGGCCUCACACCAUCGGAUGUGCCCAGAUGGGAUUAGCUAGUAGGUGGGGGAAUGGCUCACCUAGGCGACGAUCCCUAGCUGGUCUGAGAGGAUGACCAGCGACACUGGAACUGAGACACGGUCCAGACUCCGACGGGAGGCAGCAGUGGGGAAUAUUGCACAAUGGGCGCAAGCCUGAUGCAGCCAUGCCGCGUGUAUGAAGAAGGCCUUCGGGUUGUAAAGUACUUUAAGCGGGGAGGAAGGCGGUGAAGUUAAUAGCUUCACCGAUUGACGUUACCCGCAGAAGAAGCACCGGCUAACUCCGUGCCAGCCGCCGCAGUAA
rnacentral:rRNA from 1 species